rnacentral:rRNA from 1 species
UGGGGAAUAUUGGACAAUGGGCGCAAGCCUGAUCCAGCCAUGCCGCGUGGGUGAAGAAGGCCUUAGGGUUGUAAACCCCUUUCACCGGUGACGAUGAUGACGGUAGCCGGAGAAGAAGCCCCGGCUAACUCCGUGCCAGCAGCCGCGGUAAUACAGAGGGUGCAAACGUUGCUCGGAAUGACUGGGCGUAAAGCGCGCGCAGGUGGCCCGUUAAGUUGGCUGUGAAAUCCCCUGGCUCAACCAGGGAAGUGCAGUCGAUACUGGCGGGCUCGAGUCCCGGAGAGGGUGGUAGAAUUCCCAGUGUAGAGGUGAAAUUCGUAGAUAUUGGGAGGAAUACCGGUGGCGAAGGCGACCGCCUGGACGGGUACUGACACUGAGGCGCGAAAGCGUGGGGAGCAAACAGGAUUAGAUACCCCCGUAGUCC